rnacentral:rRNA from 1 species
CCUACGGGAGGCAGCAGUGAGGAAUAUUGGUCAAUGGGCGGAAGCCUGAACCAGCCAAGCCGCGUGAAGGAUGAAGGCUCAAAGCGUUGCAGACCUCUUUUAUCGAGGGACAAAAGGCGGGACGUGUCCGGUUCUGAAGGUAACCGGUGAAAAAGGAUCGGCUAACUCCGUGCCAGCAGCAGCGGUAAUACGGAGGAUGCGAGCGUUAUCCGGAUUUAUUGGGGUUAAAGGGUGCGUAGGGGGGUCGUUAAGGCAGUGGGUAAAGUUCGCGGCUUAAACGUACAAGUGCAUCUGAAACUGGUAGCCUUGAGUGCGGCUGAGGCAUGCGGAAUGCGUGGUGUAGCGGUGAAAUGCAUAGAUAUCGCGAAGAACCCCGAUUGCGAAGGCAGCGUGC